GGUCUGUUGGUCUAGAGGUAUGAUUCCUUCUUAGGGUGUUUGUUCGCCAUCUGGAGGAGGUCCCGGGUUCAAUUCCCGGAUAGACCC